AUCCAACCGGUCCCACUCGUUAUUCACCCAGCGAUUGGAUUGAGAUUUCCUUUUCGGAAUCUUCUCCAUCUGAGGGAAGUUGUUCUAUAGGGGCCCCCCGGUCUCCAAUAGUUCCGCUUCUGAGGCGUCCACUGGGAUCCGGGAUGAGCUCACUUAUUAUUCCCCACUGGAUCUAAAUAUAAAUGACAUGAGUCAAGAAUUUCGAAAUGUGUGUGUGUUCUUUCAAGGGAAGAUAGAGGAAAUAGGGGCGGACUUGCCAUCCACCUGGACUCUCGAAGGAUUUACCCAGCUGGUGCUUGGGGAAGAGGAGGUCUUCGACCCCUCUUAUCUAUCGGAUGUCUAUUCGAACCUUUUAGAGUGUGGCUUUCAUAGUUGCUAUUGGGAGGCAGCUUUCGAGUAUAUUCAAUUGAUUUAUGGUAUUAUUUAGUUUAGGUCAAAUGUUCUUUAAUUGUACUUCUUUUUUCUAUGCCCGCGGGCCACCACAUAUCGUAUCAAACUAUUGCCCUGUUUGCAUUAAUGAUGGCCUUUUUGAUCUCAUUCGUAUUCCGAUCGAGUUUUUUAUGAAACUUGAAAACGUCUCUCUCGAGAUUUCUUUUUGGGUUGUAGUCUUUUUUAGCGGUGGUACGCUCAAUAAGAACGAGGCCCGCCCCAGAAAUGGGGCGGGGAAGGAGAAGUGGGAAGUGGGUCUCCUUCGCUUUACUAGAAGUUUUUUGAUGCGCGAGGAAUUGUCUGAAAGUGAAAGGAUUGGUAAGCAGCCAAGCGAGCAUUCCUGUGUGAUUGGGGAUAGGUAG
rnacentral:lncRNA from 1 species